UCCAAGCAAGGUCGCUGUAUAUCCGCGGCUCGCCGAUGUCGGUUGACCACAACGACCAAAGAGAAAGUGUAUUCGCGGGUUUGUUCAUUCUUCAGCUGCUGCUGUUCCCGUACCCGUUCCUGUUCAAUCUGGAUCGCUUAUCUUCAAAGCACCGAGAACUUGGCCAACGCAAAACCGCCCCAGUCAAGGUCGAAAAACAAUGAUGUGCCAACGCCGCCUUACGGGAGACCCGUCCUUAUAAGCAGCAUGCAACACGCCCUGGCUCUGCAGUCUCUUGGAGCGAAGUAGAGUGUUGUCUCUAAUGGUGUAUCAUUUUGUAUAGGUGAGCGAAAGAUCCAUACUUCCUUUUUUGUACACUGUACAUAAGGUAGUGCGCUCCUCGAGACUGCAAUGAGUGCUAUGGACGAAGAAAUGUGUUUCGUCUGUAUGACUACUGUAGCUGAGAAUGAGCUACGAGUGUAUUGUUCUGAGUGCAAAUGCGCAUAUCACGUUGGCACCUGUAGCGCUUUGACAAAGUCUGCAUUUAAGUCCUUCACGACCGAGCAGAAACAGGGAUGGAUAUGUACCACGUGCACAGUCAGUAAUCGUAGGUCUGCUCAGUCAAAACCAGAUGUUACGCUUCGGGAACUCCUGGAUGCAAUUCAGCAGAACGGAGUUAAAGUAGACGCCGUCUUGCAGAGGGUUACUAGCAUUGAAACUAGGCUAGAUCAGUUGGAGGAGAAAUGUAACACAAUCGUGAGCCGUACGGACACCUUGGAAAGACGAAUAGUAGACUUGGAAAAGUCAGUGAAUAACAACGAGCAAUAUAACCGUCGCUACAACUUGGAGAUCCAUGGUGUUCUUUUCAAUAAAGAUGAAGAUUUGCUCAAAAUAAUCAAUGGCAUUGCGAGUGCUAUUGAGCUCCCAAUUGCUGAUGGCAGUAACCUUGAAGCCUGUCACAGAUUGCCUGUUAAAGACGCAAGCAAGAUUCCUGUGAUACUGGUAAAGUUCAAGCAAAAAGAUCUCGUACAGGCUUGGCUACAAUCAAAGGAUAAGAUUAAGAAACUCCCCCCAAAUCCUAGCUAUCGGGACCUGUUCGUGUGCGAGAACUUAACACGUGCAAAUAAAAAUCUGCUGUGGCAGGUUAGAUCCCGAGCGAAGGAAAAAGGUUAUAUGUUUGUAUGGGUACGCAACGGCCGUAUUUACGCUAGAAAAGACACCAUGGCUAAAAAAGUGUGCAUUGAACAUGAAAACGGACUGAGAGUACUGUAGAGCAUUAUGGCGACCUUUUGCUUGCAGUAAACCGCACCUUACUUCUUUUAUUCUAUUUUUUUCUUUUCUUUUUGGGACUAAUAUGUCAAUACUAUCGUUGUGUCAAUAUCAAGAACUUGCGCAGAGUUCUAAGUUCAGCUUAGUACACGUAAAUGUGCAGAGUCUAAAUAAAAACUUUGACUUAUUAAAUACAAAUGUACUAUCAUUUUGCUCAACACCUAGUGUGAUAGCAUGCUCUGAGACUUGGCUUACAUCGGAACGAGAGCCUUUUUUUGAGAUUAAUGGAUACCACAAUCUAUAUGCAAACCGUGAUGUCUGCAGUCAUGGAGGUGUUGCCUUCUAUAUUCAGGAGUGUCUACCGUAUAAGGUGUGUGAGUCCUUGUCAUUAGAUGUUCCCAUGUGUGAAAGCCUGUUUGUUGAGCUACCUGUCACAAACGGCAUAUCGUCCUUACCCUUUAAAGACGCCCCGUUGGUUAUUGGGGUGAUUUAUAAAUCACCAGCUGCGAACAACACCUUAUUCUUGGAUGCUUUGCAUACUGUCAUGCACGUAUUGUCCUCGCGAAAAGUGAACGUGAUCCUAGUUGGCGACAUAAAUAUCGAUGUAUUACGAAACAACGCUACCGCAAACCUCUAUUUGGAAUGCAUUUCCUGUUACGGCUUUGAACAAUUGAUUAAAAUACCCACGAGGUAUAAUGAGCGCGGAACAGCAACGUUGCUGGAUCACAUUGUAACCAACAUUGUAGCUGACAAUGUAUUUUCGGGUGUUGUUGCGGCCAACAUUGCAGAUCACGAGAUGGUUUUCAUGUGUACUAAGGCAAACUCAGUAGUACUUCCGAGUUCUACGUCGAAGCAAGUGACCGAUUACUUAGUUCUGGAGCAAUCUCUACAGAAUCUAAAGUGGGACUUUAUAUAUGAAAACGUUCCAGUAAAUGAGAAGUUUGAACAAUUUAUCAACAUAAUUAACAACGAAAUUACGUGUGCCACUACUUCACACACGAUAAGUAGAAGAGGCCAAAUAAGAAAGCCCUGGGUUACCAAAGCCCUUCUAAGGAGUAUCAAACGUAAGAACAAUCUUUAUAAAAAAGUGCGCAUGAAUCCACAUAAUUCUUUAUUACGGGAACGAUUUGCAAGGUACAGCAAUACAUUACGAUCGUUAUUACGUGCAGCGAAAAUAUCCUAUUAUCACGAUCGCAUAUACAAGGCACGUGGGGAUGUGCGCAAGACAUGGAAAACGAUUAACCACGCGUUAGGCAGGAGGAGGGCAAAAUAUAAUGUCAUCGUCAUGAAAGAUGACGCAGGUAAUCUUAUCGCGUCGAAAGAAAAAAUUGCGCAAGAGUUUAACAAAUAUUUUCUAUCUGUAGGUGUCGAUAACACACCUUCGCAGCCUACUGACACUUUAGACCUACAGCGAAAUCCUGAAUCUUUCUUUCUGACUCCUGUCACACCUGGCGAAGUAGAAUCAGUAAUUCUGAACUUAAAAAAUACUUAUACUGUGGGUCACGACGGUAUACCGGUUCAAAUCUUGAAAAGAUUCCACCGCCUAUUUUCAGCCCCGUUGGCACACCUGACUAACCUGAUUUUCUCUGAGGGUAGCUUUCCAGAAAGACUCAAAUUAGCCAAAGUCGUACCAAUAUAUAAAAAAGGCGACCAACUUUCUUUUAAAAAUUAUCGUCCAAUCUCAAUAUUAUCCGUAUUUAGUAAAGUGAUUGAAAAAUUACUUUGUACAAGAUUACAAAAAUUUUUUGAGGAGAAGAAAUUGCUAUCUUCCCAUCAAUACGGAUUUCAAAAGAGAAAAUCGACGGAACUUGCCUUAGUAGAUAUCGUGGAAAAAAUAAAAAGAAACAUAGAUAACAAGCUUCUAACCCUGGGCUUGUUCGUAGAUUUGUCAAAAGCAUUUGACAUUGUUGACCACGAGACCCUGUUGACGAAAUUGGAAAGCUAUGGCAUACGCGGCUGUACUCUACAACUUUUUAGGAGCUACCUGUCCGAAAGAAAACAGUACGUAACACUAGGAUCACAUCAGUCCUCUCAAUGUCCCAUGUCCUGCGGAAUACCACAAGGGUCAAUUCUAGGCCCUUUCCUGUUUCUUAUAUAUGUCAAUGAGCUACCGUCUUUCUUAUCAGUAACCACCGCUCUUUAUGCCGAUGAUAUUAAUGUUUUCGUGGAAAGUACAAGCCUGGAUGCUCUAUAUAGCAAAGCGAAUGAAGUGGCACAGCGAUUGAGUCUAUGGCUUUGUAUAAACAAAUUAAGACCUAACCUUGAUAAGUCUUGCUACAUUAUUUUCCACCCUAAACAAAGAGUGCUAGACACAAGUAACUUAGAAUUACGUUUCAGGGAUAUCGAACUUAAAAAUGCUGAAAAUGUAAAGUUUCUCGGGCUACACAUCGACUCUCACUUGUCAUGGCGAUUUCAUAUUGAGCAUGUCAGAAAGAAAGUCACAAGUGGAUUAUACGCGUUAUCACGACUAAAAUUUAUCCUGCCAAUACACAGCCUACUAAUAAUUUAUUAUUCCUUAUUUCAUAGCCACAUCUCGUAUGCAUUAGAAGUUUACGGGUUGACAUAUGAAUCCCGACUCAGUGAUCUCUAUGUCCUGCAGAAAAGAGCGCUACGUAUAAUGCUACAAAUACCACUCCAUGACACUGUUACAUUUGCAUUUUCCUUAUUGCAUAUUUGGCCGUUUUUCGUGCUUAUCAAGUAUAAGUGCUUGAUACUCUUGUAUAAAAUAAUCAAUAAUCUUGUGAAUUCCUGUUUAACAACUCCUCAUUUUAGCACAAGUGUUUACGACCGUCGAGCUGAUGAUUUUAUGUUGAGUUUGCCAUAUCCUCGUACUGACUUUGGGAUGUUUUCGUUUUGCUAUUCUUCCGGUAAGUACUGGAAUAGUCUUCCUGUUGUUAUACGCAAUGCUCCCUCGCUUUAUGCCUUUAAAAAGAGGCUCUCGUCUUUUUUUCAGUGAUCACUGUGCUUAAGCUGAAGUAUCUUGUUACGAUACUCUCCCCCUACUCUAAAUUAAUCCGUUACUUUGUUUUUUAUACACAUUGACUGCAUGUAUAUGACAUUGCAUAUUCUUUUUCUCUAAGUAUUCAUGUAUACAGAACCACAUCACAGGCUUGCCUAGUGGUACUGUUAAUUACAUAGUUUUUUGUAUAAAUGAUGACAGAAAGAAAAAAUAAAAAAGUCUGAAGUCUG